rnacentral:rRNA from 1 species
CCUACGGGUGGCAGCAGUGGGGAAUAUUGCACAAUGGGCGCAAGCCUGAUGCAGCCAUGCCGCGUGUGUGAAGAAGGCCUUCGGGUUGUAAAGCACUUUCAGCGGGGAGGAAGGCGGUGAGGUUAAUAACCUCAUCGAUUGACGUUACCCGCAGAAGAAGCACCGGCUAACUCCGUGCCAGCAGCCGCGGUAAUACGGAGGGUGCAAGCGUUAAUCGGAAUUACUGGGCGUAAAGCGCACGCGGGCGGUCUGUCAAGUCGGAUGUGAAAUCCCCGGGCUCAACCUGGGAACUGCAUUCGAAACUGGCAGGCUAGAGUCUUGUAGAGGGGGGUAGAAUUCCAGGUGUAGCGGUGAAAUGCGUAGGGAUCUGGAGGAAUACCGGUGGCGAAGGCGGCCCCCUGGACAAAGACUGACGCUCAGGUGCGAAAGCGUGGGGAGCAAACAGGAUUAAUACCCUAGUAGUC